UAGGAACUAAGGGGUGGGGAAAAUAGGGAGAGGUUGGUAAAAGGGUACAGACUUUCAGCUGUAAGGUGAAUAAAAUCUGAGGAUUUAACGUAAAACAUGGUGACUGUAGUUGAUAACACUGUAUUAUAUAAUUGAAAUU